CACUCCUACGGGAGGCAGCAGUGGGGAAUUUUGGACAAUGGGCGAAAGCCUGAUCCAGCCAUGCCGCGUGCAGGAUGAAGGCCUUCGGGUUGUAAACUGCUUUUGUACGGAACGAAACGGCCUUUUCUAAUAAAGAGGGCUAAUGACGGUACCGUAAGAAUAAGCACCGGCUAACUACGUGCCAGCAGCCGCGGUAAUACGUAGGGUGCAAGCGUUAAUCGGAAUUACUGGGCGUAAAGCGUGCGCAGGCGGUUAUGUAAGACAGUUGUGAAAUCCCCGGGCUCAACCUGGGAACUGCAUCUGUGACUGCAUAGCUAGAGUACGGUAGAGGGGGAUGGAAUUCCGCGUGUAGCAGUGAAAUGCGUAGAUAUGCGGAGGAACACCGAUGGCGAAGGCAAUCCCCUGGACCUGUACUGACGCUCAUGCACGAAAGCGUGGGGAGCAAACAGGAUUAGAUACCCCAGUAGUCCCAUG
rnacentral:rRNA from 1 species